rnacentral:rRNA from 1 species
GACGAACGCUGGCGGCGUGCCUAAUACAUGCAAGUAGAACGCUGAAGGAGGAGCUUGCUUCUCUGGAUGAGUUGCGAACGGGUGGGUAACGCGUAGGUAACCUGCCUGGUAGCGGGGGAUAACUAUUGGAAACGAUAGCUAAUACCGCAUAAUAGUAGAUGUUGCAUGACAUUUGCUUAAAAGGUGCAAUUGCAUCACUACCAGAUGGACCUGCGUUGUAUUAGCUAGUUGGUGGGGUAACGGCUCACCAAGGCGACGAUACAUAGCCGACCUGAGAGGGUGAUCGGCCACACUGGGACUGAGACACGGCCCAGACUCCUACGGGAGGCAGCAGUAGGGAAUCUUCGGCAAUGGACGGAAGUCUGACCGAGCAACGCCGCGUGAGUGAAGAAGGUUUUCGGAUCGUAAAGCUCUGUUGUAAGAGAAGAACGAGUGUGAGAGUGGAAAGUUCACACUGUGACGGUAUCUUACCAGAAAGGGACGGCUAACUACGU